CAUCAAUUGAUUCCAUCUGUUUCAGUGUCUCCAUAUGAUUAUCUUCUGUGUCUGGAUCUAACACACUACCAAUAAACUGAUGCACUUGAACGAAAUCCGGUAUGGCUGGACAAGCAGGACAUGAUCAGAAUACACAUUAAACAUCUUAAUAGAAUAUAUGAUCAUAUUACCACGAUUUGCAGGUAUAUUACGUAUCUGUUCUGAUGUUUCAGAUAUUGGCCAUGUUUCGGAUGGACUCCCACUGCUACUACAACCAUUCUUAUUCGGAGCAUUUUUAGAAGAUCCUACAUGUCCCCAAUCAUCUGUAAACUCUAAAAAAGAGGUAAUUAAAAUUAUGAUUGAAAUUUAUUUACUUCAGUGGAUUUAAAAAAAAUAACCUUUGCCACUGCUACUACAACAAUUCUUAUUCGGAGCAUUUUUAGAAGAUCCUACAUAUCCCCAAUCAUCUGUAAGACCUAAAAAGGGUAGUUAAGUUAUGAUUAAAAUUUAUUUACCUCAGUAGAGUUUAAAAAGAGAAUAACCUUUGCCACUGCUACUACAAAAAUUCUUAUUCGGAGCAUUUUUAGAAGAUCCCACAUGUCCCCAAUCAUCUGUAAAAUAUAUAAAAAGGGUAGUUAAGUUAUGAUUGAAAUUUAUUUACCUCAGUAGAGUUUAAAAAGAGAAUAACCUUUGCCACUGCUACUAUAAAAAUUCUUAUUUGGAGCAUUUUUAGAAGAUCCUACAUGUCCCCAAUCAUCUGUAAAAUCUAAAAAAAAGGUAGUUAAGUUGUGAUUAAUUUUUUUUACCUCAGUAGAGUUUAAAAAGAUAAUAACCUUUGCCACUGCUACUACAAAAAUUCUUAUUCGGAGCAUUUUUAGAAGAUCCCACAUGUCCCCAAUCAUCUGUAAAAUAUAUAAAAAGGGUAGUUAAGUUAUGAUUGAAAUUUAUUUACCUCAGUAGAGUUUAAAAAGAGAAUAACCUUUGCCACUGCUACUAUAAAAAUUCUUAUUUGGAGCAUUUUUAGAAGAUCCUACAUGUCCCCAAUCAUCUGUAAAAUCUAAAAAAAAGGUAGUUAAGUUGUGAUUAAUUUUUUUUACCUCAGUAGAGUUUAAAAAGAUAAUAACCUUUGCCACUGCUACUACAAAAAUUCUUAUUCGGAGCAUUUUUAGAAGAUCCUACAUGUCCCUGAUUAUCUGUAAAAUAUAUAAAAAAGGUGGUUAAGUUAUGAUUGAAAUUUAUUUACCUCAGUAGAGUUUAAAAAGAUAAUAACCUUUGCCACUGCUACUACAAAAAUUCUUAUUCGGAGCAUUUUUAGAAGAUCCUACAUGUCUCCAAUCAUUAGUAAAAUCUAAAAAAAAGGGUAGUUAAGUUAUGAUUGAAAUUUAUUUACUUCAGUGGAGUUUAAAAAGGUAAUAACCUUUGCCAGAUGAUAUAUUAUUAGUGCUAAUAGGUGUGGUGGUGUUUUGAGACCAACAAGGCAAAUCAUCGAUACUAAUCGGUGUGGUGGUGUUUUGAGACCAACAAGGAAAAUCAUCAAUGCUAAUCGGUAAAUCAUCAAUGCUAAUCGGUAAAUCAUCAAUGCUAAUCGGUGCGGUGGUGUUUUGAGACCAACCAGGAAAAUCAUCAAUACUAAUCGGUAAAUCAUCAAUGCUAAUCGGUGCGGUGGUGUUUUGAGACCAACCAGGAAAAUCAUCGAUGCUAAUUGGUUUGGUGGUAUUUUGAGACCAACAAGGCAAAUCAUCAAUGCUAAUUGGUGUGGUGGUAUUAUGAGACCAACAAGGCAAAUCAUCGAUGCUAAUCGUCGGUAUGGUGGUGUUUUGAGACCAAGAAGGCAAAUCAUCGAUGCUAAUCGUCGGUAUGGUGGUGUUUUGAGACCAAGAAG
rnacentral:lncRNA from 1 species